rnacentral:lncRNA from 1 species
GUUGUCUCUCGCACUCACUUACUCUUCCUUCUUUCGCCACUGUGCCAGACAAAUUUAAAUGUAUCUGUUCAAGUGGAGAUAAUCCAUGCAAAUCAGAGCCACUGCUCCCAAGUGCUCGAUUCACAAAGAGAACUCUGCUUGAGGAGGUCACUCGUUCACAGCUGCUCCUCCCAUUAUAUUUCUCCCCCUUAUAGCAGAACUGCUGCUUGUAUACACUGACUGAAAGGACUCAAUUUACUGCAACUGCUGCCUGGUUUUACUUACAACUUUCUUUAAAGCGGGACAUACCUUCCAGCUAUCUUGCAAAGAAAGAUGUAAGUCUUUAAAGACAUCUUCUCAUAUGGUGUGGAAAAGUAUGGUUUUAAAGUUAUGCCUCCAUAGCAGCAGGCCUAGAAGCGACAGUAAUCAAGUCUGGAGCCCACCUCCAGUCUCAUAUGGCUCUUGAACUUGACAUCACUGAGCUUCAUCAUUCAAGGUGUCAGAAUCCAAGGGUCCAGCAAAGAUCAUACAUGAGCUCCUGCUUUUGUUAGAUUCAUUCAAGGUUUUAACCAUCAAAUUGCUCAUUUUCCAUCUUAACUCAUUGAAGUCAUAGGAUUUUUUCAAAUUAAAGCCUAGUAAGUAUAUAGUAAGUAAUGUGGGUGUGUUUGUGUGUGCACCCACACAAGAGUUUAUUGUGUCACAUAAGGAAUAUCCAAG